GGUGCAUUACGUUUGCGCGCAUUACCAUUACAUUUGCGCGCAGUUUUUCAUUACAAUUGCGCGCAUUUAGUUGAUAGGUAAACUCAGGUAAGCUUAGGCAAAAACUCUUAUUUACCUAUGAAUUUAUUCAAUUAUUUUAAGUAAAAGUACCCUUUCCUUUAGACUAAGUCACCUAUUCACCCACGAGGAUGUGGAAGUGGGAUACAAGCAGGAUAAGUCGGUUGCAUUAUAUUUUAUCAAUCCGGAAAUAAUAAUACUCAUCACAUACUAAUGAUUUUCUCCCCCGAUUUGCUAUAAAAAAAAACUUCAAAUGUUCGUUACUUGACAAAACUUUACAAUCUAACUUACAAUAGAUUAUUUACGAAUUUUAAAGAGAUCACUAUUCGGGGUACUUAUCACCCUGGAAAAUUCGCAAUGAAGUUACAUGUAUGUCUUAAGUUAUAACAGAAUUUAUCAUGCACACUUUAUA
rnacentral:lncRNA from 1 species